UUGUCCUUGGCUGGUCUCUUUUUAGUGUGGGGCACAAUUUAAUUACAUCUGAGUAUUGAACUUUUAUGUAUUCCAUUGAUUUCUAGUCCGAUCUUGUGUUCAAUUUUGUGAUAUUAUUAUGGGAGUUGAAAAAUAUUCGUAUAGAAGUUGCUGUGCAGCUACUUAGAAUUUUGAAAUUUUCUGCUGUGUCAAGAGUUCAACAAUGAUGUUAAGAUGAAAAAGGACCCUUUUCUAAAGUCCUUAUGGCAAUGAAAUGAGAGGAGCAUGGAGAGCAUGCUAAUAUCUAAGUUUUGCAAGAGCAUUUCUUUAAUUUUAUUGAGUUUGUUUUGGAAGAUGGGAGAAACGUUAGGUUUUGGGAAGAUAGUUGGUGUAGCCAACAACCCCUGUGUAUCAUGAUAUUUAUACCAACUCCACUAAAAAAGAAGCAGCUCUUGCUUAUUUUUGGAACUCCACAAGCCAAUCUUGGGAUUUAGGGGUUGAGUAGAAACCUUUUCAAUAGAAAAUUUGGUACCUACAUUGCUCUUGCUCAAUCACCGAACUCUUUUCAAAUCAUUUUCACUCAUUUCUCUCCAACUCCACCCUCUUUUGAAUUCUCCAAAUCUCCCCGCCAACCAACCUUCUUGUCGGUUUCUGCCAGUUUCCCCAUAGUUUGGAUGCCAACCCUCUUGCCAGUCGCCAGUUUCUUUAUGUAUCUCUUCUUUUAAUUGUUUUUCUAUUUUUCAUGCUUUGUGGUCGAAUAAUGGACAAUAUGAUAUCAAAUCAAUUAUCAUAUAAUUUUUUUUUCACUAAAUCUUAUUUGGUUAUUUUUCUGUUUUUAUUUUAAAUUUAGUAUGGCAGAAUCAUCUUCAAGUCAUACCGAAAUUAAUUCAAGAAUGACUACUGAAGAUGAAAAAAAACUGUCAUGGCAAUAUGUGACAAAACAUGAAAGAUUUUGUGGUGUUGGAGGGAAUUGUGCUUGGCAAUUGAAUUUUUGUCAAGAAAGGAGGAAAGGUUCUUAUACAAGAGUUUGGACACACCUAUUAGAAAUGGUUGGAUUUGGGAUUGGGGUAUGUAAGGUCACCCCUAAAGAUCUUGCUGACAUGCAAAGGUUAGAAGAGGAAGCUAAAGUUCGUGUGGCAAACAAUGCUCCUAAGUAAGUUCCAUUACCACCUUCACAACAUAUGCAAACUAAAUCUCAAUCUUUUGGAUCAGGAAGCAUGGGUAGCUAUUCAUAUUCUUUUUCACCAAUGGAACAAAAGAGAAGUAAAGGAAAUGUUAGUGCUCUUGAGAAGUCAUUUAAUUUGGUACUUCGUGAUCAAGUAGAUUCGGAGAUAGCUAGAAUGUUUUGUUCUUCAAAUUUGCCUUUCCAUUUGGUUAGAAAUCUACAUUAUGUGAACCCUUUUGCUUUGGUUGCAAAUAAUUUUUUGUCCGGUUAUUUACCUCCGGGUAUAAUAAACUGAGAACAAGUCUUCUUCAAAAAGAAAAGGCAAAUGUCGAGAGAUUGUUGCAACCUAUUAAAACUACAUGAUCUGCAAAGGGAGUAAGUAUUAUUAGCAAUGGUUGGAGUGAUUUGCAAAGGAAGCCAUUAAUUAAUUUUAUGGUAGUUACAAAAGGAGGACCAAUGUUUAUUACAGCUGUAGAUUGCUUAGAUGAGAGAAAUGAUAAAUAUUUCAUAGCAAAUCUGAUGAAAGACCUCAUAAAUGAGGUGAGACAUGAAAAUGUGAUUAAAAUAAUCACUCACAAUGUUGCAAAUUGUAAGGGUUUAAGAUAAAUUAUUGAAUCACAGUUUCCCAACAUAGUUUGGACACCACGUGUAGUUCAUACCCUUAAUCUUGCUUGGAAGAACAUAUGUGCUGCAAGAAACAUUGAUAGUCCCAACAUGUAUUUGUAGAGUGUAGCUGGAUUUCUGAAAUUUCUGAUAGUGUUAUGUUUAUAUAACACUUUAUAAUGAACCAUCCUAUUGGACUAGCUAUGUUCAAUGAGUUUGUAUUUGAAGUUACUUGCAGUAGCUUAAACACAUUUUGCAUCUACCAUCAUUAUGCUUAGAAGAUUUAAACUCAUUAAGGGUGGUUUACAAAUAAUCAUUACCAGUGAUAAGUGGGGAUGCUACAGAGAAGAUGAUAUGGGGAAAGCAAGACGUGUAAAGUAGUUGGUGCUUGAUGAUGCUUGGUGGGAAAAGGUUGAUUAUAUCAUUUCUUUUACUGGUCCUAUUUAUGGUAUGAUUAGAGAUUGUGAUAUGGACAAACCUUGCCUCAAUUUGGUAUAUGAUAUGUACGACACCACAAUAGAAAAAGUGAAAUUGACAAUGUGUAAACAUGAAGGAAAGCGCAUCGAUGAAUUUUCAUCUUUUUAUGACGUGGUGCACCAAAUUUUGAUUGAUCGAUGGAAUAAAAAUAACACCCCUCCAUUGUAGCACAUUGUCUAAAUCCAAGGUAUUGUUGUGCACAAUGGCUUCAAGAAGACAAGUCUCAAGUCCCACCACAUCAAGACAUAGAAGUAGAAAUAAAGAGGAUGAAGGGUAUUAAGAAAUAUUUUAGUUUAGAGGAUGAGUGCACAAAAGUGAACAUUGAAUUAGCCAAUUUAUCUACAAUGUCUGAACAGUUUGCUAAUCAUGAAUCCAUACGUAAUAGAUAUGAUAUGCCUUCGAACAGUUGCUAGGCCAUCCAUGGUGCGUUUACUCCAACUUUACCAUCACUAGCUAUAAAGUUACUUAUUCAACCUUCACCCCCCUCAUGUUGUGAGAGAACUUUGAGUUCAUAUUCAUUUGUGCACUCCAUGAGAAGAAACAAGAUGACACCGCAACGUGUAGAAGACUUGGUGUACAUCCAUAGCAUUCUACGCCUUUUAUCAAGAAGAACUCCUGAAUAUCUCAAAGUAAACAAAAAUGUGGAACAUUGUUGGGGAUUCGUUUGAUUCAUUUGAAGAUGCGAGAAUGCUUGAGGUGGCUAGUUUAUCUUUGGACGAACCAAGAAGCUAUAGUUUUAGCAAUGCUGGUGGUGAGGCUCAAGUUCAGGAUUCUCAAUAGGACAUUGAAGAAGAAUGAAAACAUGUUCUUGAUUUUAUUUUGUAGUUUUGUAGUUUUUUACCUUUUGGCCUUUGGCUUUUGUUGUGUUGAACAAACUACUCUACUAAAACUUAUUAUGUGUUAUGACUCUAAACUUAUUGUUUUGAUGUUUUAAUUGGAAUGUUUCACGAUAUGUUUAUAUGCA